CUAGGGCAGGAUGAGGUUGAGUUCUGUUACUUUCCCACUCUACAUUUCCAGAUCUUUCUGCUUCCUUAAUCAGAGAUUUGAAACAGGUCGUGAAGCUGGACCUCUCUUAUCAAGCUAAAUAACACCUGGAGGGAAACUUUUAACACACUUCACUUAGCUCAAUCCUCAUCAAAUCUAAAUGCGUCUGGCACAAAGAGUCUGUCUUCUGGACCCUUCUUUGCUGAGCCAUGAGUCUAUUAAUGGCACUCCAAGGAAAACAAGUUUGGAGACCAAACAGGAAAGCGCUGGAUUUGUACCAGUUUCUACGGCAGACGGAGCGAGCUGUGUGGUAUCAUGUGGAUCCAGUGCAAGGGAUCCCUCCAUCAACACGUGGAGGAGAACAGAACAGGUGGCCUUUAGCCAGAGGGGAUUUGGAAGCACUCACAGAAACACCCCUCUCAUUCAUCUCACUGCACAUACUGUUCUGGGUUUAGAUUUUCACCUCAGCCUGCACAGGUUCCCGUUCUCACUUCAAAAGAAUAAAUAAGCACUUCACCCACCUUAAAACUGAAAAUGUAUUUGAUAAAGUAUUUUUAUGACUACUUUUAUGCAUUUGGCAUAGCCUUUAAAGCGGUUUGUAGUAGAUUUAAUGUACGCAUUAUCGUUUUUUGUGUCCAUAGGAAAUCAAUCCCACAACCUUGCUCUUGCUACCACAACGCUCCACCAGUUGAGUUACGGGAACCAAGGCCUAAAAGAUUAAAAAACAUUCAGUCAUAAUAACUUUAAAAUUAAAUGGGCCGAUGUUCGCAUUGUCAGAAUUUUUUUCGAAUGACAGUAAAUCAGUAUUAUAUAAUAGA